rnacentral:rRNA from 1 species
GGGUUGUAAAGCACUUUCAAUGGGGAAGAAUUUAAUUUUGAUAAUACCAAUCUUAAUUGACGUUACCCAUACAAGAAGCACCGGCUAACUCCGUGCCAGCAGCCGCGGUAAUACGGAGGGUGCAAGCGUUAAUCGGAAUUACUGGGCGUAAAGCGUGCGUAGGUGGUUUAUUAAGUCAGAUGUGAAAUCCCUAAGCUCAACUUAGGAACUGCAUUUGAAACUGAUAAGCUAGAGUUUCGUAGAGGGGGGUAGAAUUCCAGGUGUAGCGGUGAAAUGCGUAGAGAUCUGGAGGAAUACCAGUGGCGAAGGCGGCCCCCUAGACGAAAACUGACACUCAAGUACGAAAGCAUGGGGAGCAAACAGGAUUAGAUACCCUGGUAGUCCAUGCCGUAAACGAUGUCGAUUUGAAGGUUGCAGACUUGAUUUGUGGCUUUCGAAGCUAACGCGUUAAAUCGACCGCCUGGGGAGUACGACCGCAAGGUUAAAACUCAAAUGAAUUGACGGGGGCCCGCACAAGCGGUGGAGCAUGUGGUUUAAUUCGAUGCAACACGAAGAACCUUACCUACUCUUGACAUCCAAAGAAUCGCAUAGAAAUAUGAGAGUGCCUUCGGGAGCUUUGAGACAGGUGCUGCAUGGCUGUCGUCAGCUCGUGUUGUGAAAUGUUGGGUUAAGUCCCGCAACGAGCGCAACCCUUAUCCUUUGUUGCCAACGAGUAAAGUCGGGAACUCAAAGGAGACUGCCGGUGAUAAACCGGAGGAAGGUGAGGAUGACGUCAAGUCAUCAUG